AUGAACGCUAGCUACAGGCUUAACACAUGCAAGUCGAGGGGCAUCAGGAAGAAAGCUUGCUUUCUUUGCUGGCGACCGGCGCACGGGUGAGUAACACGUAUCCAACCUGCCCUUUACUCGGGGAUAGCCUUUCGAAAGAAAGAUUAAUACCCGAUGGCAUAAUGAUUCCGCAUGGUUUCAUUAUUAAAGGAUUCCGGUAAAGGAUGGGGAUGCGUUCCAUUAGGUUGUUGGUGAGGUAACGGCUCACCAAGCCUUCGAUGGAUAGGGGUUCUGAGAGGAAGGUCCCCCACAUUGGAACUGAGACACGGUCCAAACUCCUACGGGAGGCAGCAGUGAGGAAUAUUGGUCAAUGGGCGCUAGCCUGAACCAGCCAAGUAGCGUGAAGGAUGAAGGCUCUAUGGGUCGUAAACUUCUUUUAUAUAAGAAUAAAGUGCAGUAUGUAUACUGUUUUGUAUGUAUUAUAUGAAUAAGGAUCGGCUAACUCCGUGCCAGCAGCCGCGGUAAUACGGAGGAUCCGAGCGUUAUCCGGAUUUAUUGGGUUUAAAGGGAGCGUAGGUGGACUGGUAAGUCAGUUGUGAAAGUUUGCGGCUCAACCGUAAAAUUGCAGUUGAUACUGUCAGUCUUGAGUACAGUAGAGGUGGGCGGAAUUCGUGGUGUAGCGGUGAAAUGCUUAGAUAUCACGAAGAACUCCGAUUGCGAAGGCAGCUCACUGGACUGCAACUGACACUGAUGCUCGAAAGUGUGGGUAUCAAACAGGAUUAGAUACCCUGGUAGUCCACACAGUAAACGAUGAAUACUCGCUGUUUGCGAUAUACAGUAAGCGGCCAAGCGAAAGCAUUAAGUAUUCCACCUGGGGAGUACGCCGGCAACGGUGAAACUCAAAGGAAUUGACGGGGGCCCGCACAAGGGAGGAACAUGUGGUUUAAUUCGAUGAUACGCGAGGAACCUUACCCGGGCUUAAAUUGCAGUGGAAUGAUGUGGAAACAUGUCAGUGAGCAAUCACCGCUGUGAAGGUGCUGCAUGGUUGUCGUCAGCUCGUGCCGUGAGGUGUCGGCUUAAGUGCCAUAACGAGCGCAACCCUUAUCUUUAGUUACUAACAGGUCAUGCUGAGGACUCUAGAGAGACUGCCGUCGUAAGAUGUGAGGAAGGUGGGGAUGACGUCAAAUCAGCACGGCCCUUACGUCCGGGGCUACACACGUGUUACAAUGGGGGGUACAGAAGGCAGCUAGCGGGUGACCGUAUGCUAAUCCCAAAAUCCUCUCUCAGUUCGGAUCGAAGUCUGCAACCCGACUUCGUGAAGCUGGAUUCGCUAGUAAUCGCGCAUCAGCCACGGCGCGGUGAAUACGUUCCCGGGCCUUGUACACACCGCCCGUCAAGCCAUGGGAGCCGGGGGUACCUGAAGUACGUAACCGCAAGGAUCGUCCUAGGGUAAAACUGGUGACUGGGGCU
rnacentral:rRNA from 1 species